rnacentral:tRNA from 1 species
AAAAAAUUAGUUAAUUAAUAAUAUAGAUAUGUCAAGUCUAAGUAAUUUAAACUUAAAUAUUUUUUU